CUGUCCCAGCUCAUCAGUCAGCACACUUACAUUUCUUAGGCCUUCAGAUUUUAAAAAGACUAUACUGACCCAUAAAAUCUAGUAAGAUGAAUGGGUAUAUUUUAUGAUUUUAUUUUUUACAGAAUAAUAAUAUAGGUUUGAAAUGUUUGAAAACUUUUCUUUGCUCACAACUUCCAGUGUGUAGAAUAGAAUGUUUCGUAGUACUUUUGCCUUUUCCUUUCAUUUUGGUGAAAUCAAAAGAAAUGAGUGCAGCAAGUACCUAUAAGUCAUUUAAUUAAUGCCAUUGUUUUUUUUUUCCCAAGGAACCUGUAAGAUAGCUAAGACUGUGUGGUGUUGUGGAUCAAUACCCUUUCAGCUCAGAAAACCCCUAUUCACAUUUGGAUAUGAUCUGCUCGUAACAGUGUACUGGAUUUGCUUCUCUCCUUAAGAACCUUUGUGUCCAUUGCUAAACUCAUUGCACAGUUCAGUGAAAACUGUAGUGUCUUAUCAACAGAAGGAAGGGAGACUUUAAUGGGUGUAACAGCUUGAGAUAUAAUGAAAGUCUUGCCAAAAAUGCAAUGUGUCAAAGAGUUUUGAAGACCUUCAUAACCUAUUUCUGAAAUUUAUCCCAGCCAGCAGCAUAGGCAGUGUGAGACACCCAAAAACACAAAGACCCUGUCAUGAUAGUCCCUGCACGGUGCACAGAGCAGGCCACACCCAUUUGUGCCUGUGUAAAGGAAUUUAAUCACUAAGCAGAAUUCUUCCUCUUGAGAAGAAAUAAGUCCAUUAGGUCAUCACCUGCUUCAUUACAGAGGAUUAAAAAAGAGGGAACAGAGAAUAGACAUACAGAUUUAACUGCAGGCUUGACUUUAGAACUGUUGGAUAAACUAUACCUUUCUUAGCCAUAAGGUAAAAUUGGUGGCUAUAUACCAUAUCCAUCAUCCUAGCACUACUCUCUCUCUGAUCAGCAAUUUCUGCUUAAUUGUUUGUGUACAACAGUCUUUCCUUCUGUGACACCUGAGCCAUCCUGAGACAAGCAUAACCUACGAUAUCUCCAGACUCUGUACAGGUAUAGAUAUACAUGUAAUGAUCUGACUCAGAGCUCAUCACCAGCAAUCUGUUUUGAAAGCUGUCUUCCAUUUAGUCUGUUUAGUAAUAAGAAUCAAUAAAUGGUUAUGGGUGGUCCUGGCCCAUGUCAGCAGUAUCAGUCUCAUUUUCAUUUGCAAAGACACCUUCAUGUGUCACGAACACAGCACUUCUUCAGGGUGAUGCUGAGGUGUAAGAUGUCCGCAGCAAAGUGGGCAUCAAUUCUAAGAAUGUCUUGAGUGACAUGGGACUGAUCAUCAUCCUGGCAUGAAUAGCUACUGUCUCAGAAAUGUAUGAAUAAUAUACCGUAAGCAUUGGUCAUUUGUCAAUUUGGUGUCGUGGAAGAGACAGAACCUAAACCAGUGUACAUUAAUCUUUUGGGGACGGUUCUGGAAAAAAAAUAUCUAUAAUUGUGUUGAACAACACAGCUUGAGUCCCUUUCCAUUUCUGGACCAUUUUGGGAAGUUAGAUUAAAACAUGAGAAAUACUUUGUAUUAAAAUUAUUUUCAUGGAGUAACAAACUGAACAAUAAUGCACAAGUUACGGUGCAUCCAUCACAUUGGUGAAAUAAUAUUUGAUGUAUUAAAUAAAAUGUACCUAUCCCCUUCCUUUUUUCCUGUGAAUAUCUAUCUUUUCCCAUAUGCAACUCUGAAGUUUUGUUAUGCUCUCCUACAACCAGUACCUCCUUAUUAUCAAGUAAAGAACAAGCCAAGUGAUAAUGCCUUUUUCCUUCCUCAGCUACUAUCAAAACAGUGCAGCAACCCCAGUCACAAACUCAAGAGUCUUUUGACAGCAGCAAUUAAGCAACUUAAUUAAUGAGUGAAUAAAAAUGAUAAUAUUUACUGAAUGGGAGCAUCCUGUUUUGCAUUUUUAUUCAAACUGUGCACCUGAAGAAUACCACUGAGUAUACUACCUCCUCCCCUUCUGCUUACAAGCUCUCUUCAUUUUUUUUCCCCACACUAUUUUGACUUUGAAAGCACCCAAAAAGCUAUUGUAUGCCUAGACACAGGCAUGAUGCUGAGGCACCAAAUAACUCUUCCAGGCAGCUGAGGGGAAUAUGCUGCUACCUUUGCUAUGGUUUUGCUGACCCUUAAAACUUGGCUUAUAUUUAAGGGACAAUUUUCAUGGUGCAUUUGUAAGCUUGAAAUUUAUAUCAGAAUAAGUGAUUAAUUACUGAUAAAUGGCUAAUAAAGCAUUAAUGCAUUUGUUAAUUAACAACUUUUAGACUUACAGUGCUUUCUACCCUCUUUCUCAACAUGUUUCACAUGCAUGCAUACAGACUUCUGUUCCCCUAUAUUCUUUAUUUGACUGUUAAUCUCUUCAACCUUCAUAUAUUACAUGCAUACACAUAAAUAUAUGUUUUAGUCUACAUGGGUUUUCUCAAUGAAAUAUAUAACCCAUCUCAACUGCAAGUAAAGCCCCAUACAUAAUUAUUUUGGAAUGACAGACAGUGAAUUCCUUAGCUAUUAUUUUUGACGACCCUGUCAUGGAUGCCAGGCAUAUAUUGUGGUAAGAGCCUGAGAAACUUGGGAAAACCCACCUGGGGAGAAAACUCCUUUUUUCUUUAUGGAAAGGUUCCCCAAGUGACAGGCCUGCAAUCCUGGGUGAGCUUAAUUAAAGUCAAUAGAGAAAACUAAAGCAUUCAAAAUUGCUGCCUUUGGGGCUUCCCCACUCUUCUUUUUCUUCAUUUGCUGACACUUUUAAGGGUAAGGUGCAUUUUAAAUUCCUUAUUUGGGGCUUGGGGCUCAGUUCAUCACAUUCCCCUUCUGUUCUGUAUCCCACAUUAAAUCUCCCUGACACUUCAAAGUGUUGUUUCCCAUGAUUUAUGGCUAACUAAUGCAGGUGCACUGGGCCUCCUGUGAGGUGCUGAAUGUCCUCUUUGACAUCAGUAUUAAUGAAUGAAGUUUUGGCAUACAAAGCCAGGUGAGGCACAUUACCUAAAAGUGCAGAUAGGUAAACUGAGGUACCCAACAAGACAGCAGUGAAGCCAAAAAAAGAAUUUAACCUUGUUGGCACCCAGAGUUCUGCAGUAUUUGCUAUGCGUUUUGUAGUAUGAGUUGUGCUGAGAGUAUCCCCUUGGGAUUUUCUAAAAUGUGCCUAACCAGACUUUGUGACCCUAGUCCUACCUCAUUUCUUCUCCUCUCCAGAGGAGAAGGAUGCCAGAGAUGCACCGACGCAGCAGAGCUGGGAGUACACAUGGAAGAAAAAAGGUCUUUGUGUAAUAGGAUCUUGACCAUCUGCUGCACCUGCCGUUUCAAUCCCUUGUCUGUUUUGAAUCAUACAUUGUCAAAUGUCACAAUUGCUACCAGGCCUGAAGCUUGGAUUAGUUCUUGAGCUUGUAAUGCUUACUUUUGAAAUGAAUGGCAAAAUGCCUACUGACUUCAGCACAAGCAGAACUCAAGAACUGACAGCUACAAGCACCUUCAUUUGCACCCCACCCAUAGUGGAAGAAUAUAUUGGAAGUGGUGUCAGCAACAGCAGUGGGACUGGGGCAUUCGUGACAAACUACCUUUGGGGUUUGCUUUUGGAAUAAAAUCCUCAUUUACCAGCCUCUGGUAAUGAGGUGGCCACAUGACUUUAGAGUGAAGGCAUUUUUAUUAGGGCCUAAUGGUAGAUAUUGUAAAUGAGGUUUGUGAAUUAAGAAAACACUUUGAACAUUCAAGUGAUCAAAAUCUUUGAUGAUAAAGAUGGGUGUCAGAAAUUCCCCAGUUCCAAUUGUUGGUCCCAUAGCACUUACAUGAUUCACUACAUGUUAAUCUAGCUGUCUGUACAUUUAUUGUAGAAGUAACUGUAUGGUGGGAUGAUAGUAAUUACGUAUUCUGUCCUCCACAGCACUCAGAAAUGUAAGAGGUGUGCUAUGUCAGGAGCAGGGGAAAUUGAAAGUCCAGUAAGUAUACCUUACUGGGGUUAAAAAGAGAGCUGCUUUUCUUGCUCAUGGAGCUGGAAGGGGCUAAGGUGAGGAGACCCACUCAGAUUCAUAGCAAUAAGGGCUCUGUGCUGUCUGGUAUCUCAGUUAAAAAAAAAAACAAAAAAAACCCUUCCCAUUCUGUUGUGGGAUAUCUGAAUCCAGCAAAUCCAAUUCUCAUCUGUUUGUAUUUUAAACUGAUCCAGACCAAGUAUCUCCUCCUUUCCCUGCUCCCUAGGCAAACAGCUCACUUCUUUACUUCCCUCCUGGAGGAAGGAUAUCAACGCUGAAAAGGUUAAGUGGGCUGCCUUAUGAGUUGGGAUGUUGUGAAAUUUACACUCAUUAGCUUCUCUGGGUGGCCAUCAGGAAUUUAAUUAACAUCCUUGACAUGGGUUGUGAUAACUGGUAUUGUGGCUUCCAGAUGCCCAUUGCUGAGAGACAGAGAUUGUACUUGUGAAGAGUGACAGCAUUCAGGAAUGUGCAGAGGCUUUGUACUCUGUCUUGCGAGAAGAAAGACAGCUCUGGUUGCCACCUUCUUCCUGUGGGAAAAAAAGGAAGAAAAAAAAGGCAGCCUUUUUGCAGGUAGCCUUGCUCAUGACAGUAACAUCACGUCUGUUUCUGCCCUUGUCAACACAUCUCACUGUCCACAAUCACUCAUCAUCUCCAGACAGACAGCACUGGAGGAGAUCAUCAAUUGCCAAUGCAAUUCAGCAGAUACACUUCAUAAAUUUUAAUUACAUUCCCACUGAAAAUGAAUGGUCAGAAAAUAUAAAACAUCUGCCAUACAGAUCAUUUACAUUUUUCAUACAAUAAAUCAUUGGCAACAUCCAAAACAAUGGAUUAAAUCAUGUGGAGUGUGAUAGGUCAAGAAAGAAGAAACGGCACCCAUCGUGUGAUUACUGUUUGGACCAAAGCCAUUACACGGUGUACAGUAUCAAGGAAAAUAAAAACAUUAAAAAAUAGUAACCAUUUGGACUUGUGCUCAUAAAUAAAAGAUCCCUGGUAUCAGAUACACCCUUCUAAUGGAUCUAUUACUGUGUCUCUGGAAAAAUGAGGGAUUGUUUAAGUAAAAGAAUAUUUAGUUAAUUAAGAUGGAGGGAAAUGAGCAUUUAUCAAUUGAGUGUCUGGCCUAUUUAGCUUGUAAAUAGAAUAAAGAAGUGAUGUCAGUGGAAAAUAAUCUGUUAAUCAGGUUUAACUAAUAUCAUGACUGUUAAAAUAAAGCAAUCAACUUUGUCUUCAAUAGCGUAGUGUGAAAUCCUAGUGUGAGAUCAUCAAACAGUAUGUUCAAAUCAUGUAUUUUACCUGACAAAGCAUCACCACACAGGUUUAACAAACCAGGUAUGGGACUCAGAGGGGACCUAUUACUACAUCCUUUCUUUCUCUGUUUGGCAAGGGAGGCAGCUCUGAUCGUGGUGGUGCAGUGAUGGUCAAUGAGCCCUGCCCCAGGAGUCCUGUUGUUGCUGUCUUCAUAUCUGCUGAGUUGAAGUCUGGAAGCAAAACCAGCAAGCUGUAAUGCAAAGCUCCCAGUACCUCUGCCUAUCCUGGAAAUAAAAGAUAUUGGCAGACCAGUUUCCCAUUGUUUUCAGUCUUUGGCCUCAACAGUGCUCAUCGGUAUAUGGUAGGAUAUGGGAUAGUCCAGUGCGCCAUUUCCUUCUGGCUUUGCCCUCCACCAAAUUAUCCACUGCCCAUUGCUUCCUCCUAGACUUUCACAGGAGUGCCUAGGGAAGCCAAAUUACGCUCCUAAUGUGCUGCCUGGCCCAGCAUAUAGAAGAGCGUAUACUCUACAUAUCCUUAAAGGAAAUAUCAAUUCUACUCCUCUGUUCAGGGAGUGCUAGGGCCUGCUUGAACUAUGUUAAGCCCUCCUUAUACUUCAGAUUUACAGAUUUCAUGAGGCUAGUUGAGGGCAUAUAUUCCCAAGAACUCAUUCAAUCAGACAAAACCAAGAUGUUUAGGAAGUUCGUCCAGUCCUUAAGUGACUUCAGCAUUUUUUUCCUCAGUGCUCCUCCAUUGUGAAACAUUUCCUGCAAAACGUACACAGGUUGAAGAGAAAAUUCAAAAAGGUGUGUAGGCUCCUAACAUGUCACUCCAGCAGAAUGCAAUUGCCUAAAUUGAUGUCAUCCAUCUGAUUCCUUACAUAUCUGAAGAUCAGCUCAGGUAGGUACCUAGAAGUUUCUAACACAGCUCUGGUGCUGGUGACUUUCUCUGGAUCAAGCCCAUGCUGUUGACAGGGCCUCCAGAUCACCCCCAGCAGCUGAGCUUUGGUUUGCGUCCAGGAUCAAGGUCAGAACGCACCAGCUGGCUUCCUCUUGGGUAAAAUCCAUCUGGAAAAAGCACUCUGGGAGCUCACUGAACAUGCCCAAAGCACACAUGGGUGUCUCAGCCUGAUGGGACCAGGCUGCACUAGUCCAGAAAGAGUGCCCUGGAGGAUGUGUACCAUGGCCAUGUGGGGCUCACUCCCAGCUCUUUUGCUGAACACAUCUGCUCCUAUUGGUCUGUGUGACAAGUGCAGGCACAGCCACUGUAGCUGUGCACCUCGUCCUCUGCAGUCAGAGCUGACUGCAUGUGCACAUACGUGCGUGGGGCCGUGUCACCCGCAUGUGCGUGCGUGCACACAUGUGUGCACGUGUAAUUUAUCAUUUUUUUUGUGUGUGACACACCAAAAAUAAUGUAUGAGCUCCCUCUGCUGCUUUAUACAAAGAAAUUAAUCAAGAAAAUUGCUUGCAAAGCUGAGAGCAUUUUAUUCAUAUCUUGCUGAUAAUGCUGUAUGCACAAGUAAUACCAAAAAUAAGUGUGUAUUAUGCUUGCAAAGCACUGUCCAAACAU